GAGGGUGGUAUUAUGACAAACUGACCCUUGUUCGUGAUGAUGCAUGCCAGAGCUGGAAUGUACCAACCAAGACUCUUCUUCCACUUUCAUCAUACAAUUUUUUAUUCUACGGUGGGGUGAAAAACAGGUGACUCUAAGAAGGUGAGACUGCCCUCAGAGGAAGAAAUACGCAUUUGAGUGCCCCCAGGACAGCUGAGAUCUUUUGUGAGCAUCGGCACUGGAGAGCCUGGUUCACUAUGAGUCUGAUGCAAGCUCUAGGUGCAAGCGAUGGGCGGACUGUGCACACUCAGAUGUAGCUGAGAAACUGCUCUGUACACAGGAUGGGGCAUGAGAGACUGGAUCCAAAGCUUCUUCCAACUGAAAUCUUUCCUAGACAGUUAUAAUCCUACUCUUCUAUGGCUGAACUGGACAGUUGUACUCUUAUUCUUCUAUGGCUGAUCUUCAGAACUGUAUGAAAAAAAUAAUGGUUAUUAGCCUCAUGGUCUAAUACAGGAGUAACUGCUAAUCUGCCUCUUCAUGUGGACAUCAUUAAUGAGGAAUUAACAAAAGGAUUCUCUUACAGCAGUCUGCACAGAGCCCCCCAGUGAAUACUAUGACAGUAUCGUAGGAAAGCCCCCUUUCAUCACCAAGAAUCACUUGAGGCAGAAGUCCUGUGGCAUCUCUGUGUGGACAUUAAAAUACUAGUUUGUGCAUGAUCUUUGAAGCAUCACUCAGAAGUCUGCAGUCUUUCUGUUCUAACUAUGGUUGCCACAUAUUUGUGUGGAACUUGUCUUAAAUCUGUUUGUCCAUUACAUUUAUGAUUUAUUUCUCUGUGAUGCCAGGAGGCAGUUCUCAACAUUGGCUCAUCCUCCGUUACAUCUGUGCUUUAGAUUUGCUGUUCCAUUAUCAUAGAGAUUAAAAAUUGUCUCCAGUCUUCUAACAAGACACAUUAUGUUGUGCUAAUCUAUUGUACUUUGCCAUCAUAUGCUUAUUAAAAAUUCUUCUUUGAAA